rnacentral:rRNA from 1 species
UACGGAGGGGGCGAGCGUUAUUCGGAAUUAUUGGGCGUAAAGGGCGCGUAGGCGGCUGCACAAGUCAAAGGUGAAAUCCCUCGGCUCAACUGAGGAACUGCCUUUGAAACUGUACGGCUUGAGGCCGGGAGGGGGUAGCGGAAUUCCCAGUGUAGCGGUGAAAUGCGUAGAUACUGGGAGGAACACCAGUGGCGAAGGCGGGUCUCUGGGCCGAUACUGACGCUGAGGAGCGAAAGCGUGGGGAGCGAACAGG